GUGAAUCAUCAAAUCUUUGAACGCAAAUUGCACUCUCCGGUUUUCCGGGAGAGUAUGCCUGUUUGAGGGUCUGUUUAAAAAUUAAUCGAGGCUGCUGCUGUGGUGCCGCUUCGGAUUGGGGGAAUCUUCCACCUUUCGGGGUUGUAAGCGACCUAAAAUUUUUCUUACGAUUUCUACGAACGUUUCUAAGAAUUUUUCUUUUACGUUCGCAAAAUCAAAAUAAUAUUAGGGCCGACCGCGGCG
rnacentral:misc_RNA from 1 species